rnacentral:ncRNA from 1 species
UUCGUCACAACGGCUUCCUGGCGUGACGGACGACCCCCAAUGGAGCA